rnacentral:rRNA from 1 species
UGGGGAAUAUUGCACAAUGGGCGCAAGCCUGAUGCAGCCAUGCCGCGUGUAUGAAGAAGGCCUUCGGGUUGUAAAGUACUUUCAGCGGGGAGGAAGGCGAUAAGGUUAAUAACCUUGUCGAUUGACGUUACCCGCAGAAGAAGCACCGGCUAACUCCGUGCCAGCAGCCGCGGUAAUACGGAGGGUGCAAGCGUUAAUCGGAAUUACUGGGCGUAAAGCGCACGCAGGCGGUCUGUCAAGUCGGAUGUGAAAUCCCCGGGCUCAACCUGGGAACUGCAUUCGAAACUGGCAGGCUAGAGUCUUGUAGAGGGGGGUAGAAUUCCAGGUGUAGCGGUGAAAUGCGUAGAGAUCUGGAGGAAUACCGGUGGCGAAGGCGGUCCCCUGGACAAAGACUGACGCUCAGGUGCGAAAGCGUGGGGAGCAAACA